rnacentral:rRNA from 1 species
AUUGAACGCUGGCGGCAGGCCUAAUACAUGCAAGUCGAACGGUAACAUAAGAGAAGCUUGCUUUUCUUGAUGACGAGUGGCGGACGGGUGAGUAAGAUUUGGGAAGCUACCUGAUAGAGGGGGACAACAGUUGGAAACGACUGCUAAUACCGCAUACAGCCUCAGGGUGAAAGAAGCGAUUCGCUAUCAGAUGUGCCCAAACGGGAUUAGCUAGUAGGUGAGGUAAAGGCUCACCUAGGCGACGAUCUCUAGCUGGUCUGAGAGGAUGAUCAGCCACAUUGGGACUGAGACACGGCCCAGACUCCUACGGGAGGCAGCAGUAGGGAAUAUUGCACAAUGGAGGAAACUCUGAUGCAGCCAUGCCGCGUGUGUGAAGAAGGCCUUC